rnacentral:lncRNA from 1 species
AGUAUGUUCGAGUAGGAUUAAAAAAGUCCAGUAAAAAAUUAUAUAAUAAAUUAUAUAUUAAAAUAGUAUUUAAAAUUUUUUAUAUUUUAUGUAAUAUAGAAAGUCCGGCUACUAUACUUUUAUGAGUAUUGAUUCUCUUAUACUCAUAAGUUUUCAGCCUUUAAAUUUAUUCUAUUGAUCAUUUUCAUCCGUUAGAUCACACUAUUCAACCAACUACCCACUCAAUCCUAGAGGAUUACUAUCAUUCUAAGUGGAGGCCACCAUCAUUCUAACCACACAUACCAUCAAUCAACGGUUAAAAAUUUAUGAGUAUAAAGGGAUCUAUACUCAUAAGGAUAUAGUAGCCCCAACCGUAAUAUAGAUACAAUUAAUUUAAAAUUAUUUUAUAUUAUA